rnacentral:rRNA from 1 species
CCUACGGGAGGCUGCAGUGGGGAAUUUUGGACAAUGGGCGCAAGCCUGAUCCAGCAAUGCCGCGUGAGUGAAGAAGGCCUUCGGGUUGUAAAGCUCUUUUGUGGAACGGGCGGUACCUGAAGAAUAAGCACCGGCUAACUACGUGCCAGCAGCCGCGGUAAUACGUAGGGUGCAAGCGUUAAUCGGAAUUACUGGGCGUAAAGCGUGCGCAGGCGGUUUUGUAAGUUUGUCGUGAAAUCCCCGGGCUCAACCUGGGAAUGGCGAUGAAGACUGCAAGGCUAGAAUCUGGCAGAGGGGGGUAGAAUUCCACGUGUAGCAGUGAAAUGCGUAGAGAUGUGGAGGAACACCGAUGGCGAAGGCAGCCCCCUGGGUCAGUUGACGCUCAUGCACGAAAGCGUGGGGAGCAAACAGGAUUAGAUACCCUUGUAGUC